UUGGGGGAGUCCAUCAGCUCCUCUCAGAGGAAGAACACAGUUACCCUUGGAAGCACCUCUCUUUUUUGACUCACAUCCACAAAUUCUGUGGUCAGCUUAAAGGCUGAUGUCUCGAAGCCCAGGUUUCGGGGUGAGCUGGAAAGGAUGAAGCCAAAGUCGAUGUGGAUGAUGUGACCUUCUGCGUCCAGAAGGAUGUUCCCGUUGUGCCUGAGGAAGAGGCAACAUGACAUUUUGGAUAAGUUUUUAAAAAUGUAUUUAUAUUUCACCUUUUAAAACUCAGAACAUAACAAAUUCCACUUACUGGACAUUCAUACUAUUAGAAAUCCCUGAAGUACGUUUAAUAAAAAGAGGAAGUAAUCGAGCAAGGAGAGCUGUGACUGUUUCUUCACCUGGUGGAUGGACACAGCGUUGACUACUGGUUCAAUCAUGCCACUGUCAGCUGAAAUCACAAGAAUCUUAUAUGGCUUGAUCCAAAGAGGCACUCGCUCCUGUUCCCAAAUGGACUGUGAAGAGACACAAAGGUAUUGAGAGUGGCUCAUCUUUCUCCAAAC
ensembl:antisense Gm15265 predicted gene 15265